GGACUACCCGGGUAUCUAAUCCUGUUCGAUCCCCGCACCUUCGUGCCUCAGCGUCAGUUGCACCUUAGUCAGCUGCCUUCGCUAUCGGUGUUCUGUGGCAUAUCUAUGCAUUUCACCGCUACUUGCCACAUUCCGCCAACUUCAUCUGCACUCAAGUCUUCCAGUAUCAACGGCGCUUUCUCUGUUAAGCAGAAACAUUUCACCGCUGACUUAAAAAACCGCCUACGCACCCUUUAAACCCAAUAAAUCCGGAUAACGCUCGAAUCCUCCGUAUUACCGCGGCUGCUGGCAC
rnacentral:rRNA from 2 species